AGUGAACGCUGGCGGCAGGCCUAAUACAUGCAAGUCGAACGGCAGCUCAGUGGAGCUUGCUCCAUGGGUGGCGAGUGGCGGACGGGUGAGGAAUACAUGGGAAUCUGCCCAGUCGUGGGGGAUAACGUAGGGAAACUUACGCUAAUACCGCAUGCGCCCUUCGGGGGAAAGCCGGGGACCUUCGGGCCUGGCGCGAUUGGAUGAGCCCAUGUUCGAUUAGCUAGUUGGCGGGGUAAAGGCCCACCAAGGCGACGAUCGAUAGCUGGUCUGAGAGGAUGAUCAGCCACACUGGAACUGAGACACGGCCCAGACUCCUACGGGAGGUAGCAGUAGGGAAUAUUGGACAAUGGGCGCAAGCCUGAUCCAGCCAUGCCGCGUGAGUGAAGAAGGCCCUCGGGUUGUAAAGCUCUUUUGUCCGGGAAGAAAAGCAUCGGGCUAAUACCUCGGUGUUCUGACGGUACCGGAAGAAUAAGCACCGGCUAACUUCGUG
rnacentral:rRNA from 1 species